GAUGAACGCUGGCGGCGUGCCUAAUACAUGCAAGUCGAGCGAACAGAUAAGGAGCUUGCUCCUUUGACGUUAGCGGCGGACGGGUGAGUAACACGUGGGUAACCUACCUAUAAGACUGGGAUAACUUCGGGAAACCGGAGCUAAUACCGGAUAACAUUUGGAACCGCAUGGUUCUAAAGUGAAAGAUGGUUUUGCUAUCACUUAUAGAUGGACCCGCGCCGUAUUAGCUAGUUGGUAAGGUAACGGCUUACCAAGGCGACGAUACGUAGCCGACCUGAGAGGGUGAUCGGCCACACUGGAACUGAGACACGGUCCAGACUCCUACGGGAGGCAGCAGUAGGGAAUCUUCCGCAAUGGGCGAAAGCCUGACGGAGCAACGCCGCGGGAGUGAUGAAGGGUUUCGGCUCGUAAAACUCUGUUAUUAGGGAAGAACAAAUGUGUAAGUAACUGUGCACGUCUUGACGGUACCUAAUCAGAAAGCCACGGCUAACUACGUG
rnacentral:rRNA from 1 species